GGGGAGUAAUGCCUAGGAAUCUGCCUGGUAGUGGGGGUCCACGUUUCGAAAGGAACGCUAAUACCGCAUACGUCCUACGGGAGAAAGUGGGGGAUCUUCGGACCUCACGCUAUCAGAUGAGCCUAGGUCGGAUUAGCUAGUUGGUGAGGUAAAGGCUCACCAAGGCGACGAUCCGUAACUGGUCUGAGAGGAUGAUCAGUCACACUGGAACUGAGACACGGUCCAGACUCCUACGGGAGGCAGCAGUGGGGAAUAUUGGACAAUGGGCGAAAGCCUGAUCCAGCCAUGCCGCGUGUGUGAAGAAGGUCUUCGGAUUGUAAAGCACUUUAAGUUGGGAGGAAGGGCAGUAAGUUAAUACCUUGCUGUUUUGACGUUACCGACAGAAUAAGCACCGGCUAACUUCGUGCCAGCAG
rnacentral:rRNA from 1 species